GUCUAAAGCCAUUCCACCCUGAACAAGCCCGAUCCCGUCUGAUCUCAGAAGCUAAGCAGGGUCGGGCCUGGUUGGUAUUUGAAUGACAGACCACCUAGGAAGACUAGGUGCUGUAGGCG
rnacentral:rRNA from 1 species